UACAGGGGGGGCAAGCGUUGUUCGGAAUUACUGGGCGUAAAGGGCCAGUAGGCGGCCAACUAAGUCACACGUGAAAUCCCCAGGCUUAACCUGGGAACUGCGUGUGAUACUGGAUGGCUUGAAUUCGGGAGAGGGAUGCAGAAUUCCAGGUGUAGCGGUGAAAUGCGUAGAUAUCAGUCGGAACACCGGUGGCGAAGGCGGCUUCUUGGGCCAUUUCUGACGCUGAGGCGCGAAAGCUAGGGGAGCGAACGGG
rnacentral:rRNA from 1 species